AGGGUUCGAUUCUGGCUCAGGAUGAACGCUGGCGGCGUGCUUAACACAUGCAAGUCGAACGGGAUCCAUCAGGCUUUGCUUGGUGGUGAGAGUGGCGAACGGGUGAGUAAUGCGUGACCGACCUGCCCCAUACACCGGAAUAGCUCCUGGAAACGGGUGGUAAUGCCGGAUGCUCCGACUCCUCGCAUGGGGUGUCGGGAAAGAUUUCAUCGGUAUGGGAUGGGGUCGCGUCCUAUCAGGUAGUCGGCGGGGUAACGGCCCACCGAGCCUACGACGGGUAGCCGGCCUGAGAGGGCGACCGGCCACAUUGGGACUGAGAUACGGCCCAGACUCCUACGGGAGGCAGCAGUGGGGAAUAUUGCACAAUGGGCGCAAGCCUGAUGCAGCGACGCCGCGUGCGGGAUGACGGCCUUCGGGUUGUAAACCGCUUUUGAUCGGGAGCAAGCCUUCGGGUGAGUGUACCUUUCGAAUAAGCACCGGCUAACUACGUGCCAGCAGCCGCGGUAAUACGUAGGGUGCAAGCGUUAUCCGGAAUUAUUGGGCGUAAAGGGCUCGUAGGCGGUUCGUCGCGUCCGGUGUGAAAGUCCAUCGCUUAACGGUGGAUCUGCGCCGGGUACGGGCGGGCUGGAGUGCGGUAGGGGAGACUGGAAUUCCCGGUGUAACGGUGGAAUGUGUAGAUAUCGGGAAGAACACCAAUGGCGAAGGCAGGUCUCUGGGCCGUUACUGACGCUGAGGAGCGAAAGCGUGGGGAGCGAACAGGAUUAGAUACCCUGGUAGUCCACGCCGUAAACGGUGGAUGCUGGAUGUGGGGCCCGUUCCACGGGUUCCGUGUCGGAGCUAACGCGUUAAGCAUCCCGCCUGGGGAGUACGGCCGCAAGGCUAAAACUCAAAGAAAUUGACGGGGGCCCGCACAAGCGGCGGAGCAUGCGGAUUAAUUCGAUGCAACGCGAAGAACCUUACCUGGGCUUGACAUGUUCCCGACAGCCGUAGAGAUAUGGCCUCCCUUCGGGGCGGGUUCACAGGUGGUGCAUGGUCGUCGUCAGCUCGUGUCGUGAGAUGUUGGGUUAAGUCCCGCAACGAGCGCAACCCUCGCCCUGUGUUGCCAGCACGUCAUGGUGGGAACUCACGGGGGACCGCCGGGGUCAACUCGGAGGAAGGUGGGGAUGACGUCAGAUCAUCAUGCCCCUUACGUCCAGGGCUUCACGCAUGCUACAAUGGCCGGUACAACGGGAUGCGACACGGCGACGUGGAGCGGAUCCCUGAAAACCGGUCUCAGUUCGGAUUGGAGUCUGCAACCCGACUCCAUGAAGGCGGAGUCGCUAGUAAUCGCGGAUCAGCAACGCCGCGGUGAAUGCGUUCCCGGGCCUUGUACACACCGCCCGUCAAGUCA
rnacentral:rRNA from 1 species